GGGCAGGGGCAGCGCUGGGUGAGAAGGGCCCGGACCCACCCCGGGCCCCUCUGAGUGUCCUGGGAAUUGGGGAGGGGGCUCUGGGCUCGCUCAGGGUCCCCCAUGGGAUGGAGGGGACACAGGGCCAGCUCAGGGCGCCCGGACUUGGGGGUUCUCCCCAUGGGAGCUCUGUGGAGUCCAGGGUCAGGCUGGGACCCCUGGGAUCUCGGCCUUGACCCCUAGGUCUCCUACCCCACAGCCACGUCCAUCCAGAAGAGAUCACAGCCCAGGAGAUCCUGGAUUCCCGUGGGAAUCUGGAGCAGCGAUCACUGGGAAGGCUGGAAGUGGUGCCUGACACAGGUGGGCAUCCAGGUGGUGGGCUGUGACCUGGCAGUGACCGACCCGAAGGGCACCGCACGGGCUGUGGGCACACAACUGCCUCCUGCUAGAGGUCCACCAGGUCAGACCCAUCACCGAGUCCACCUGGGUGUGAGCGCUCUGAGUCCUCGUGCAGCUCCCCGUGCAGCUCCCAGCACCGAGUCCACGCAGGUCUGACCCUCGUGGGACCCCUCGCAAGCCCCUGGGUACCUCCCUCGUCUCGGAGUCCAUCCUGCAGCCGCAGCAGAGGCUGCCAGGAGUGACUGCGCACACAAACUCGCACCGCUCUGAAAAUCCCAACCACUGAGUCUGUGCAAACCCUCCUGCAAACCUCCGAAAGCACCGAGCUCUCUGCGUCCACUCGGCUGUGAGUGCACGGCAAAUCCUCGUGCAAACCCUUGGGAAAGGCUCCUCGGGAAGAGAGGGGUGUGAAAACCUCACGUCCCCGUGUCGCCUCCCAGGCGUGUCCUUGUCCCUGUGUGUCCUGCUCCCCCUCUUCCCCAAAGCCCCCAUGUCUGCUGAGCCCUGAAUCACCCCCACAUCGCCCCGCUGAGCUCGCAUCCCUCCCAGGGCUGAGGACUCGCUGGGGGACAAAACCAGGCUGGGAGGGGGCAGAUUCCCAAACCCCAAGGCCAAGAAGGAGGGGGAAGAGCAGCAGGACCCCCACCAGAGGGUUCCCCCCACCCCCAGUAAACUCUGU